GUAAUUUAGUUGCAAAUCAUAACCAUGUUACUCUUGGGUUUUUUUUUUUUUUCCAAAUUAGAAUGAAUUUUUUGGAGAAAACAUUGUUUCCCAUAUUCCACGUGUUUUUAUUGAAAAAAAAAAAUUGUUUCCUUUAUUCUACAUUAUUUUUUAUCUUGCUUCAUUCUUUGUGCUAUUUCUAGGUUUGGCAUGUACCCCUAUAAAUACUUGACUCUUUCCACAANUUUUGUAUUAUUGAAAUAUAGAAUAAUUGUGUUGGCACGGUUAUUAUAUUUAUUUUCUCUAUAUUCUUUAAUUGAAUAAAAUACACCGUUCAAUUAAUUCUUUGCCUUAUAUCUUAUUCUUUGUUUGCUAUCAUAUGCUUUAUAUCGUGUCAUAUUUAUUAUCUCCAUCCGUUCUAUUUCCGAACAGUUACCUUGGGCUAGCAUGAUAUAGUCCUUGUUCUAAUACUAUACACCAAAAAUAAAAAUCUUGACUCAAUGGUAAAGUGGAAAGAACAAGAAUAUUAUUUGUGAUUUCUCUCUCUUGAUCUUGUUUCCUCUAUAUAUUAUUAAAUUUUUGUUAUACAUAUACGCAAGGAGGAAUUUUCAUCGCAACAAGAUCUGCUCGACCAGGCUGCAAGUUACAUUAAGCAACUUAAAGAAAGAAUAGAACAAUUAAAGAGUAGAAAAAUUCAGUAAUGUAUGUAGCAAAUUUGCCAUUUUCAAGAUUUAGAGAUUUAGUAACAUUUGGUUUGUAUUUCGAUUUUCAAUUUUCAGUUUUGAGUUCGUUUUUGGUUUUCUACUUUGAGGGUCUAUUUUAUGAUCUCUAAAAUCGCUUUUGUUUGAAAUUUUGAAAAAUUGUUUUAUUACAUUUUUAUUCCAUUAAAUGUGAUUAUCCAG
rnacentral:lncRNA from 1 species